CCUACGGGAGGCAGCAGUAGGGAAUAUUGCUCAAUGGGGGAAACCCUGACGCAGCAACGCCGCGUGGAUGAUGAAGCUUUUCGGGUGGUAAACUCCUUUUAUAGGGGAAGAUAUUGACGGUAUCUAACAAAUAAGCACCGGCUAACUCCGUGCCAGCAGCCGCGGUAAUACGGAGGGUGCAAGCGUUAUUCGGAAUCACUGGGCGUAAAGAGCGCGUAGGCGGGAAAGCAAGUCAGAUGUUAAAGCCUAGGGCUCAACCAUAGUACUGCAUUUGAUACUAUUUAUCUAGAGUAUGGGAGAGGUAGGUGGAAUUCCUGGUGUAGCGGUGAAAUCCGUAGAUAUCAAGAGGAAUACUCGUUGCGAAGGCGACCUGCUAGAACAUUAUUGACGCUGAGGAGCGAAAGCGUGGGGAGCAAAUGGGAUUAGAUACCCGUGUAGUC
rnacentral:rRNA from 1 species